UUCGAGCUGUUCAGGCAAUGCAUGAAAUGGUAUCAGUGAAUAAGCUGAAGUAUUCUUCGGACCUAAGUAGCACGGGGAGGGAUGGCGAAGAUGAAGUACUUGGCGACGUCAAAACCAUUUCAGACUCAUCUGUACCAUCGACACUCGACAAUGAUGAACCAAAUAUUGUCGGACCAGAAGAAAUUGCGACAGUUGCUUCAUUGUGGUCGGGGAUCCCCGUUCAGCAGCUCACUGUGGAUGAUAUGAAACUUCUAUCCGGUCUUGACGAGGAACUUAAGAAACGAGUAAUUGGCCAAGAUGAUGCUGUAAGCGCCAUAUCUAGAGCUGUGAAAAGGUCCCGAGUUGGCCUGAAAGAUCCUGACAGACCUAUUGCUGCUAUGCUCUUCUGUGGCCCAACUGGAGUCGGUAAAACUGAGCUAACAAAAGCUUUAGCAGCAUGCUACUUUGGAUCGGAGGCGGCCAUGCUACGGUUAGAUAUGAGUGAAUACAUGGAGCGACAUACCGUGAGCAAAUUGAUAGGAUCUCCUCCAGGUUAUG
rnacentral:misc_RNA from 1 species